rnacentral:rRNA from 10 species
AUGAGACCUCAGGUCAGGCGGG